rnacentral:rRNA from 1 species
UGGGGAAUAUUGGACAAUGGGGGGAACCCUGAUCCAGCAAUGCCGCGUGUGUGAAGAAGGCCUGAGGGUUGUAAAGCACUUUCGGUAGGGAGGAGGACUGAUAGGUUAAGAGCUAAUUAGUUGGACGUUACCUACAUAAGAAGCACCGGCUAACUCCGUGCCAGCAGCCGCGGUAAUACGGAGGGUGCGAGCGUUAAUCGGAAUUACUGGGCGUAAAGAGUGCGUAGGUGGUUGAUUAAGUUAUCUGUGAAAUUCCUGGGCUUAACCUGGGCCGGUCAGAUAAUACUGGUUAACUCGAGUAUGGGAGAGGGUAGUGGAAUUUCCGGUGUAGCGGUGAAAUGCGUAGAGAUCGGAAGGAACACCAGUGGCGAAGGCGGCUACCUGGCCUAAUACUGACACUGAGGCACGAAAGCGUGGGGAGCAAACAGGAUUAGAUACCCGCGUAGUCC